rnacentral:lncRNA from 1 species
GUUUCAUUAUGUUGCCCAGGCUGGUCUCAAACUUCCGGACUCAAGCGAUCCACCUGCCUCAGCCUCCCAGAGUGCCAGAUUGGUAUCACGGGCGUGAGCCACUGUGCCAGACCGGCAGCCACUGCUGGGUCCUUCUGAGCUGCUCACCCCGCCUCGGCUUCAGGGCUCUCCUCAGGUGCCUCGUCUUCCCAGGGGUAGAAUUCCCUGGAGCAUGGCCAGGGGAGUGACUCCUGUGCCAGGCCACGACAGAGGGCACCCCUACACUGGGCAGACAGGAGGUCCCUAUUGUUUCCUGGACCUGUGGACUUUGUCGCUCCAUCACAGUCUCCUUGGAGGGAACACAGUCUUUGGAAACUCUGCCUUCUUAAAAAAAGCUUCCCAUUUUUAACAAAAGUUUACCAUUUUAAUUCUUAUUAUAAGUAAGUGGUUUAUGUAUCCUAAUCAUGGUAUUG